GCCCUGACAAAUAAUUUUGAGCACUUAUCUGCCAAGUUGAGGCUGUGCCAGAUGUUGUGGACACAGCCCAGAGCAGAGCUGGUGGCCUCACUGCCCUAACAUGUACAAACCUGCAGGGAUGCAAGGUGCCCAGACUGUGCAAAGCAAUGGCAGCUGCAUGGAGUCCAGAGAGAGCACCUGGAGGCCUGGAAGGCUUCCAAAAGAAAGUGAGUUUGCACUCCUCUGAGAUACAAGACAAGUAUUUGGAAGAUGCAGGAUUUUACUGAAGUUC
rnacentral:lncRNA from 10 species